GUCAAAUCAUCAUGCCCCUUAUGUCCUGGGCUACACACGUACUACAAUGGCUGAUAAACAACGGGAAGCGAAGCCGCGAGGCGGAGCAAAUCCCCAAAAACAGCCCCAGUUCGGAUUGCAGGCUGAAACUCGCCUGCAUGAAGUUGGAAUUGCUAGUAAUCGCGGAUCAGCAUGCCGCGGUGAAUACGUUCCCGGGCCUU
rnacentral:rRNA from 1 species